rnacentral:rRNA from 1 species
GGUCAAGUGAAGAAGCGCAUACGGUGGAUGCCUUGGCAGUCAGAGGCGAUGAAAGACGUGGUAGCCUGCGAAAAGCUUUGGGGAGUCGGCAAACAGACUGUGAUCCAGAGAUCUCUGAAUGGGGGAACCCAGCCAGCAUAAGCUGGUUAUCUUGUACUGAAUACAUAGGUGCAAGAGGCGAACCAGGGGAACUGAAACAUCUAAGUACCCUGAGGAAAAGAAAUCAACCGAGAUUCCCUUAGUAGUGGCGAGCGAACGGGGACCAGCCCUUAAGUUGAUUUGAGAUUAGUGGAACGCUCUGGAAAGUGCGGCCAUAGUGGGUGAUAGCCCCGUACACGAAAAUCUCUUAUCAAUGAAAUCGAGUAGGACGGAGCACGAGAAACUUUGUCUGAAUAUGGGGGGACCAUCCUCCAAGGCUAAAUACUA